rnacentral:lncRNA from 1 species
AGAAGGUUGUAAAAGUAAUAAAAGACCUAAAUUAGAAACAAUUCAAGAACGAUAUUGGAUGAAAAUACCAUUUUAAAUAAUGCUACGAGUCCCACCACUCAAAACCAAACCAUCUCCGGGCGACGUAAAUGCUAAUUGACCGGAGCAACUCCGACCAGUUUGUAAAUAUAAAGAAAGGAUUUCACACCAUUUCUCCCAAAUUUCGCCUCAAGUCCCACCGUUGAAAACCAUCCAUAUCCGGCCAAAAUCUAGGGAACUGACCGGUGCAACUUCGAGUUGUUUGUAAAUAGAAAGUUGAUGCCUUUUUCAUCAAGAAUUCCAAAAUCUACACAAACGUAAAAUGGUAGACAAAGGUGUUUUCUCAUCCUUCUUUGUUGGGUUCUAAAUUGUUUAGCUUCUCUGUGUCCCCACACACUUAAAAUCGGCUCAUUCACGGCUGUCCCAACC